CCUGGAUUCUUCUCAGUAAUGCCUGUUUUGAAGCAGGGAUCUUGAAUUUUUAUGUUGCUUAUAAAAUAACCAGGACAUUUUGGUGCAAUGUGUUAAGCCAUGGACAUGAAGACGGAUGUUUCCUCUGGCUCACACACACCUGAUCUGAAGUGCUGAAAAACCUUUCUCCAACUAGGCGGAAGUGGCAGAAGGCUCCAGAAAGCGCCAUUACCACAGCAAAGAAGAGAUCAGAAGUGAUAUAACUAAUGAAUGACAGGUGUAAGGGUGAGGCAGGGGCACCGCCUGGACUCCCGGCAGGGACGGAUACACAAACACAAGGCAUAUGAUGGUCGAUAUGGAGCAUUUAUUACCUCUGCAUCUGAACGGGGGUUCCCCCGCAUUUUCCCGAUCAAGGCAGUAAUGGAGCAGGGGAUCCCUGGCACCGCUGAGCGUCGGUCCAGGGUGAGGAACACCGGGGCGGGGCACUAGAUGAAGUUUUCAUGUACCAUACACAUGCGCAGUAAGCGUGUUGAGCUCAUUGUUAUUCCCGAUUCAAAGCCCAGGUGCAGCGCCACCCUGGCACAGGCUCAACUACGUGACUAUGGGUCAACACGCCCUGUUGAUGCUCCUUUUCCCACAGAACGGUCUGGCUAGCUUCCAUCGUCUAUCUCCUUGACAUUCUUCCGCACUUUCCCAUACACUAAGAGAAAAAGUGCAUUAGGACCUUAGAGCCUAGUGAAGGAUAAACCAGAGAAUAUUCUUUAACAUCAUAGGAACCAACACUGCAAAAAUAAGAUGCUGUCAUGAAAAAGACAAUGUUAUAUAACUGUGAUCAUACUAUUGGAAAACCUUCAUGCUGAUAUGGUUGCCUUUUCAAACUUUGCUUCUUUUAUACAACUCUUUACUGAACAUUGCUUAUUAGCGUAGAACAGAUCUAUUCCCUGGACCUACCCUGUUAGUGGAUGAGUGGGAAGGGAGCAGUCCUGCUCACUAUUAAUCUCCAGAAAUAAUUUGGCAAAUUUUGACUUAAUUAAUCCUUUUGGGAAUGCUGUGAUUUUGUUCCUAGGCAAUUGAUAAGCAAACAAACAAAAUUCUUCCUGCUUUACAAUGCGAAUUGCAGAUUGUUCACCAAGCUCAAAUUUGGGCUGUGACAGAAAUAAACCAAUAUACUCACUUUUAAAUUAGGACAGUUUUGUAAAUUAAAUAUCAACACCUUUAACAAAAAAUUAGCUGGAUAUUACUUCAAUAUUCAGAGUACUGUAAUACUGAUGAUCUCUGUAUGACCCUGCCUCAGCAAGCAGAGCCAUAACUGAGUUGUGCUGCUCCAGUUUCAGCUCAGCCCUCAGAAAUAAUGAAGUAGCCUGGAGAUGGAGUUUCAUGCAGCAUGGAACAGAUGAAUUAUUAGAUUUUCAUAAUCAAAUGGAGACUCUGAUUUAUUUCUGCCUUUGCAUCAUUUGUUUGAUUUAGUCUGACUGUAAUUUACCAUUUAGGAUGAAUUUAGGAUGUGAUAUAAACUCAUAAACUUACAGAUUAUGAAUAGAAAUCACAAAUUUUCUUCUUCAGUUAGAAAUACAAAAGAUGUUUUUCUUUUUUA